rnacentral:misc_RNA from 1 species
GAAGCAUUCUAGUUGCAGCAGCUCAUUAUGGAGCAGUGACAAUGGGUGCAGAUAUUGACAUUCGAGUAGUACGUGAUGGCCGCGGUCCAGAUUGUAAUGUCUGGAGCAACUUCAAGCAGUACGGACUGCCAAUGCCUAUUGGUUUAUUAAGGGCAGACAACAACCUUCCUCCUUGGCGUUCGGGGUUGAAUGAGAUUUUUGAUGCCAUUAUAUGUGACCCUCCCUAUGGAGUCCGUGCUGGAGGACGUAAAUCUGGUGGCAGGAAGCUAUUGAAAGGAAUGAUUGGUCCAUAUACAGUUCCUGAUGACAAAAGGACAGGCCAUAUACCAUCAACUGCUCCUUACAGCUUAGUGGAAUGCGUGCAUGAUUUGCUUGACCUUGCUGCUAAGAUGCUUGUGAUUGGUGGCCGGCUUGUGUACUUCUAU